CAAAGUUUAUAUUUGAAUCUUAUUUAUUUUUAUUUGUAAGAAAUGAGAGAGGCCCUGCCCUCUGGGCCUCUGUCAGAUCAUAAAACCUAAAAGCAGAGUCAGAUUUCAUUGUAGCAGCAGCUAGACCUGUACAGCAAAGCAGAAGAAAACAAAGCUCUGCUCUUACUGGAUGAGUUUCUAUGUGAAGCCUUUAAAUCCUGGAGACCAUUUAGCAAAAAUUAGCUUAAAAGGACAGUAAUUUUUCAAUAAAAUGUUUUCAAUUAUUUUAGUUAUUUUAGUUUAAUGUUUCUAUGAAAGUAAAUCAUCUGUGAGAGUAAAUGAAGAAAAGAGAGGAGAAGAGAGAAUUAGAAAGUAGAAGAGGGGCGAAGAAAAGCGAAGAGCAGAGAAAAGAGAAGAGAAGAGAAGAGAAGAGAAGAGAAGAGAAGAGAAGAGAAGAGAAGAGAAGAGAAGAGAAGAGAAGAGAAGAGAAGAGAAGAGAAGAGAAGAGAAGAGAAGAGAAGAGAAGAGAAGAGAAGAGAAGAGAAGAGAAGAGAAGAGAAGAGAAGAGAAGAGAAGAGAAGAACUUGCUGGUGAUAUUGAGAUCUCCUAUCCUUCGAAGGGAUGAGACUACGUCCUUUGGCAAAUCCUGCAUGAUAUUCUAGCUGCCAGAAGAUCAGGUUUGCAACAGCUCCUCUUCAGUUCUAGCUGCAGCCAGCAUGGCUUUCCAACUUGUGGAUUUCCUUCUGCCACAGUUUUUAACGUGGUCCAUAAAUAUAAGCCCUGCUCUGGAGAUUUGGCACAACUGAUCAUGCUCUCUCUACUGCCUUCCUGUCUUUCUGCAAGAGCAAAGUAAACUCAAGGCUGAAUGAGGAUCCGCAUCCUGCAGCUGGUCUUUGCUUGUUGUAGCUGCACUGAAAAUGGUUUUAAAUACUGCAUGCUGUUCUCUUACAUUUUUACCAGUUCUGAGUGUCCAUUGCUUGAUAAGCCUUUGUGGUCUCCUUGGGGGUUGACAGAAAUAACUUUUGACAGAGGAUCAAUGUGAACAGAUGAGAACUUGUGCUGAUCAGAAGGUGCACAGGUGCCUACCCAGAGGGAUGAUCACACAGAGGUCUCUAUCAGAUGGAUAUCACAGACUGCAAUUAUGUAGGAGAGCAGACAUUGAAAGUCCUCCCUCAUCUUGCUACACGUUGUUAAGGUUUUUGGUUUUCAUUGCAUUUUCAUUGCUAGGGAGAACAUAGUUGAAGCAGUGUUGCUUUUGCCUGAUGGUGGACCAUGUACUGAAAGACAAAGAUCCUGCGUCUGUGACAUUGAAACUAGAUGAUCAUUAUUGUCCUUUUCAACUCAGGCCAUUCUAUGAUUCUGUGACAUCCUAAAAACAUGUAAGUUAAUCAUAAAUAUGCCGGUGGGUCUUAGAAAUUAAUUCAAAACUUGAAUGACCUGUUUUUAUUUACCAAUUCACACGGUCUUUCUGCUCACCACUGCCAUGACAACCUACUCCAAAAUGCAGAUUCCUGUGUCAUUUGUACUGCUCCCAAAUGCAUAUGUCUGCCAUGCAGUGAAGUCCACACCAAAGACACCUCUAUGGAGCCAUAUGGGCAUGUUGCUAUAUUUGUCUAUAUAAUAUAUGGAUAUUAUGUGAUUCAAUAAAUGUAGUUUAACUUUUGGGUCACGGAGCCAGGACUUGGAUUUGAUGAUCCUUGUAUGUCCCUUUCAAAUCAGGAUAUUCUGUGACUCUAGAAGUCCCAACUCCUCAUUUUCUGUUGAUGCCACCUGCAAGGACAUGCUAGAAAUGAGGAGAAGUGGUGAGCCCAUGGAAAUCUCUGAUGUUCACAUGUGAAGUAUCUCUUCACCAGACUACAGGGGACUGAGGAAGACAAGGUGGAAGACAGCAAAAUUCACGGUGGGAGGAAGGCAACCUUGAUCCCAAAGGCUAUUUGAAUAGUAACAUAAUGAAGUGAUAAUUUAUGGCUCAGUUCUACUCUACCUCGCACCUUGUGUGGUCCUCUGCUGUCAGACACUCUCUGAGCUGAGUUCCCCACUCUCCCUGUUAACAGCUUCCCAGUGUGUGAGAGCACAGAUUUAUUGUGGGGGAAAUUGCCUUUCAACUGACUGGCUCCAAGUCCUCCAAGGUUUUAGAGCAGUGUUGCUCCAGAGAGAUGGGUCCAGUAUCAGUUUCGGCUUUAAAUAUUUCAUUAGAGCUUUUAAAAUAAACUCACCUAAAACCAAGCAAACAUCACUGAAGCUAAGCUUUUUAUUAAUAAAGUACUGAAUUAACCCAAGAAAAGAAUACUUGAACUAUCAAAUGAAGUGCUGGGCCAAGGCUGUUUCAGCACUGAACUGGAAGUGAAUCAUCAGUUCUGCUACAAGUGUAGUCACCUGUUUUAUACAUAAGAGAGAGUUUAAGGAGUUCACUGAUUUAAAUUGUUAGUGAGGAAUUUCACAACUGUCAUUCAAAUCCAUGUGUAAAAAUCUGACCUCAAAUACCUCAAAUAGCUCAUGUCUGAAAUGUAAGAACUACAGACUUAGACCCCAGUUCCUAAGUUCCCAUCUCACUUUGCCCUUUCUUCUAUCAGAAACUCCAUCAUUCAGACAUUAAUGGAACAUGGUAUAACAAGUGGUUUAGAACCUUUAUUUAUCAGGAUUUCAAUGACCGCUCAAAACCCGGUGACUUCUAAACACAGAUAUUUCUCUGAAUGUCUUUGUUUGCUUUAUUUGGGGUUUUUUGGACCUGAAGGAUUUUUCUAUCCAACCAUCUCCCAUAGUUGGAUCCCAUCUUCAUUACUCUCCCCGUUCUCCCAGUGGUGUGUCUGGAGCUGCCAACAAGCAGACGAUUGCAGCGAUGGCAAUGCUUUGCUGACAGCUCCUCACUGUUAGGUCAUUUAGGACAUAGCAUGACCGUACAGAGAGGCUUCUAUGACAGCAGUCUUCCCUCAGGUGAAUUGGUUCAUGAGGUGAAACUUCUUAGCAAUGCACAGGCUGCUUAAAAUUUGUGAUUUCUAUUUUCUAUGUCAUGCAGCAUGUGUUGCUCAAGUUUUGGGGUAUGUCAACUAUCUGGAGCCAUUUAGAUGACAGUGGGAGGGAUUUUGGAUACUGCCAUCUCUGUUCUACUGCCGGGAAUCCUGCUGCCCAGGUGGAGGAGCUGAGGUUUGAUAUUUCCUUAAGUACAAUAGCUAAACAAAUGGUAAGGUGAAGAGAGGCUGUUGUUUCACCAGCUGAUUUAUCAGGCAUUGUUUUUUUGGCAGCAGAGGGCUGCUUCUGGCUGCUCUGACCAUGACUCAUGGGGAUGGGUUGCAGUUGAUGCACAAGAGGAUCUUGGUACUGUACUUGUUGAGGUCAGGAAACUACUUGGACAAUUUUUAGCCAUUCAGAUCUGGAGAUGAGAGUGUGUUGACACAUGGGGGAUAAAGUAAAAAUUGAGGGAAGCCAUAAGGGCGUUUGCCAGACAUGACUUCUGUGAUUCUCCCAGGACAGGAGCUUGCAAAUGUACUUACCACCUAUCUAAUGCUGGCUUUUGCUCCUCAGUUGCUGCUCACAGCAUGGGAAUGUGCAUGGCCAGUAUUGACCUUCAUCCCAUUUUUUCAUGGAUGUAAUGAGGAAGUCUGUGAGUGUGCACCGUGGCUGCACUGAUAUCUUAUAGCUCAGCAGCAUCUGAGAGUUGCUGGGAUUUCUCAGAGAAGUUAGAAGCAUUGCAUGGAGGAUGCCCCCAGUUUGGGUAAUGGCCAUUCCAGCAGGAACAGUGUAUCUAUAUGAUGAGAUGACACAAUAUUGAUGUGAUAAGAGUUGGAAAAGGGCCAGGGUUGCAGACUGGACACCUUCUAUCCAAAAAUAUACCAGGAAAUGGCUGCUCUUUAGAUCACUUCAGGACAUGGACAGAGUUGUGGUACUUAUAGUUAUUCUGGAAGACGAUAAGAUUUUCAUUGUUUUCUAUGUAUCUUUAAACAGAAAGUUUAGAGGAGUAUGUCAGUCUCGCCUGUUUCUGGAAGACAAAGAGAUAAGAAGGAAUGCCUUGUGCUAAUUAUGGCUGUUUCCCAUCUGUUUCCUUUUGAAAUAAUAGCUUCAUGGAGAAGGCUAUGUAGUAUCAGGGGAGAUUCUCGAGAACAGCUUGGAGCAGACACAUUGUGGACGGGUGUAAAUAUGCCCCACAUGAUGACAGGAAGGUCAGGAGUGCACUAUGCCUCUGCUUUGAAAUGUGCUGAAAUAAAAAAAAAAAAGAACAAGUAGUCUUGGAGGAUAUAAAAUAUCCCUGCAGGGGGAAAAUAUGGGGUUGGACCGAGUGACCUCCAGAAGUCCCUUCCAACCUCAACCAUUCAGUGAGUCUGUAGUUUUAUAAGUGUUAGACAGCACUCUGGUGGCGUAUUUUUCCAUCUCACUUGCAUAAAUUCAUGUACCGGAAUUAAUAAAAAAAGCCGUGAAAUAAAUGCACUUAGUCUUUAGAAAUAAA
ensembl:lncRNA